AGAGUUUGAUCCUGGCUCAGGACGAACACUGGCGGCGUGCUUAACACAUGCAAGUCGAACGGGAGUACUUUGAAAGCUUGCUGAUAAGUACUUUAGUGGCGGACGGGUGAGCAACGCGUGAGGAGCUGUCUUAUGCAGGGGGACAACAGUUGGAAACGGCUGCUAAUACCCCAUAAGCCGAGAGGUAAAAGGAGCAAUCCGGCAGAGGAGGUACUCGCGUCCUAUCAGCUAGUAGGUUGGGUAACGGCCGACCUAGGCGAAGACGGGUAGCCGGCCUGAGAGGGCGAACGGCCACACUGGAACUGAGAUACGGUCCAGACUCCUACGGGAGGCAGCAGUGGGGAAUAUUGGGCAAUGGGGGGAACCCUGACCCAGCGACGCCGCGUGGGUGAAGAAAUCCUUCGGGAUGUAAAGCCCUGUUGUAUGGGAAGAGCGGAAGACGGUACCAUACGAGGAAGCCCCGGCAAACUACGUGCCAGCAGCCGCGGUAA
rnacentral:rRNA from 1 species